rnacentral:rRNA from 1 species
UGGGGAAUAUUGCACAAUGGAGGAAACUCUGAUGCAGCGACGCCGCGUGAAUGAUGAAGGCCUUCGGGUUGUAAAGUUCUGUCCUUGGGGAAGAUAAUGACGGUACCCAAGGAGGAAGCCCCGGCUAACUACGUGCCAGCAGCCGCGGUAAUACGUAGGGGGCGAGCGUUGUCCGGAAUUAUUGGGCGUAAAGGGUUCGCAGGCGGUCUGAUAAGUCAGAUGUGAAAGGCGUAGGCUUAACCUAUGUAAGCAUUUGAAACUGUCAGACUUAAGUUAAGGAGAGGAAAGUGGAAUUCCUAGUGUAGCGGUGAACUGCGUAGAUAUUAGGAGGAAUACCGGUGGCGAAGGCGACUUUCUGGACUUAUACUGAGGCGGAGGAACGA